rnacentral:rRNA from 1 species
UACAGGGGGCGCAAGCGUUGCUCGGAAUCACUGGGCGUAAAGCGUACGCAGGCGGGUCGUUAAGUCGGUUGUGAAAUCCCGGGGCUCAACCCCGGAACUGCAUUCGAUACUGGCGAUCUUGAGUACGGGAGAGGUGAGCGGAAUUCCUGGUGUAGAGGUGAAAUUCGUAGAUAUCAGGAGGAACACCGGUGGCGAAAGCGGCUCACUGGCCCGAUACUGACGCUCAUGUACGAAAGCGUGGGGAGCAAACAGG